rnacentral:misc_RNA from 1 species
GAUGAAGAACGCAGCGAAAUGCGAUAAGUAAUGCGAAUUGCAGAAUUCAGUGAGUCAUCGAAUCUUUGAACGCACAUUGCGCCCUGUGGUAUUCCGCAGGGCAUGCCUGUUCGAGCGUCAUUUCAACCCUCAAGCCUCGCUUGGUGUUGGGCCCUGCCCGCCGCGGCCGGCCCUAAAGAUAGUGGCGGCGCCGCCUGGCCCUCAGCGUAGUACAGCUCUCGCUCCAGGGUCCGGCGGCAGCCUGCCAGAACCCCCCAACUCUGUGGUUGACCUCGGAUCAGGUAGGGAUACCCGCUGAAUUUAAGCAUAUCAAUAAGCGGAGGA